UCUCUUUGUUCAAACUCUUGUUGUUGUUGUCCCUAUCAUGGUUAGUAGAGAUCAGGCUUCUAUUGUGAUGGUGUACAUUCAAUUAUGUGUGGAGGUAGUUAAGAAUAGUCUGAGAUCCCUUCUUAUUGCCUAGCUUGUUCUGUGACUCACAAUACAAUAACAAAAUGAGAUAUCAAAGUGGCCUACUGGUUCUUUGAGAUUAUCACAAACGACUGCCAAAAGUCGCAUGUUCGAUCACUACAAGAAAACGUAGCAGUAACAACGGCGUUUUACGAGGAAAUAAUUUCCUCGUAAAUUUACAUACGCUUUACAACGCAAUUACGACGAGACAUAACUUCGUCGUAAACUCCAUGGUAAUUUACGACGAAACGUUUUCGUCGUAAAGUCCAUGUAAGUUUACGACGAAAGUACGUGGAAUGCGAAAUAGUUGUAAACGUUACAUCGACAUUACAACGAAUCGUGUUACCGUUAUAUAAAGGUGAAAACGUAUAUUCAAUGUGCUUUAACUUACCUAAAUUCGUUGUAAACGCGUUGUAAAUUUUCUAUGUAAAAUCCAUGUAAAACUUACCAUAUUUCUCUAUAUAUAUGUCAUUUCCCACAACUCUCUUCCUCACAACACACAACUCUCUUCCUCACAACACACAACUCCUCAUUCAGCCACCAAUUACUAUUUCGAAGAUAACGAUAACGAACAUGAGUCAUUCGUCUGUCUGCCAAUUCAGUGGAGCGACAAGGAGAAAAUGGAGGGAAGUGCAGUUGGUUUAUACUUGAGUGGAACCUCCGACCAUCGCAAAGGUUCCUCUCAAGUACAAACCAGCUGCACUUCCGUCCACUUUCUCCUUGUCGUUCCACUGAAUUGGCAGACAGACGAACGACACAGGUUCCUUAUCGUUGUCUUAGAAAUAGUAAAUGGUGGGUUAACAACGCAAUUACGACGAACCCAACGAAACCAAAUUUCGUCGUAAACGCCAUGUAAUAUUACGACGUAAGUACGUCGAAAAGAAAACUUUACAUCGAUAUUACAACGAAUCAUGUUACCGUUAUAUUUAGGUGAAAAACUUAUCGAAGUUCGUUGUAAAGUCGUUGUAAAAAAAUAUGUAAAAUCCAUGUAAAAGUUUCCUUGUAAAAUCGUUGUUAUAUUUCAACUACCCAACUCGAAAAUUUCUCUAUAUAUAUGUCAUUUCCCACAACUUUCUUCCUCACAACACACAACUCUCUUCCUCACAAGACCCAAACGGAAAAAAAAAAUUUAAAAAAAAAAUAGAAGAAAAAAUGGUCGGUGGCGGUAGUAUUUACGAGUUACGAAGUUGGAUGUAUUUGCACAAAGAUUCGGACGGGAGAGUGACGAAUGCAUUUCUGAACGGGCUAGAGACAUUCGUGCACCAGGCGGGCUGUACACCGAUCACGCAGGAAAGCGGUAAGAUGUUCUGCCCCUGCAAGAAGGAGUUA